CAGUUAGUAAGACAAAAAAAAAUGAGUUACAUCCAGAUGACCUUGGGAAUACAUGGACAUAGAGAGUUCAACACCUCAUAAAGACUCCUGCUAGGAUCUGGAGAAACUGAAUUUGCACUUUCCUGUGAAUGGCCCAUGGAAAAUACUACUUUUAACUUAAUAUGAUUAUGAAUCAGCUUUGGGUCCAGUCAGAUGACGGAUCUUAUCAGCUGAGGAGUUUGUCCUGAUGUCUCGAUUUUAGCUGAGUUUGGUGUCCAGGACUUUUCAGCUCUCCACUGAAGCUGGAAGCAGAUCUUCUCCUACCAGCAAAUAUCCGUUCAGUACAAAUACCUUACCUGUUACUGUGCUGGGGCCUCAUUUGGUUCUUUUUUAGCAAAAGUGGAAACCUUUGCUUUGUCCUGGCUAAUUGGGAGUUAAUUUGCUUUGUCUCAGUUGAAGAUUUUUGUUUGGUUUUGUCUGAAUCUUGGGGAUGAUGGCGUCAGUGCUUCUGAAGACCUAAAAUUUCCACUCACCAUUCAGCAGAGAGAAGAACCUGACUGAAGCUCAUUGAAAUAACUACUAAGA